GCCGGUGUGGCUCAGUGGACAGAGCGUCAGCCUGCGGACUGAAGGGUCCUGGGUUCGAGUCUCAUCAGGGGCA
rnacentral:tRNA from 1 species